GUGGGGAAUCUUGCGCAAUGGGCGAAAGCCUGACGCAGCCAUGCCGCGUGAAUGAUGAAGGUCUUAGGAUUGUAAAAUUCUUUCACCGGGGACGAUAAUGACGGUACCCGGAGAAGAAGCCCCGGCUAACUUCGUGCCAGCAGCCGCGGUAAUACGAAGGGGGCUAGCGUUGCUCGGAAUUACUGGGCGUAAAGGGCGCGUAGGCGGAUCGUUAAGUCAGGGGUGAAAUCCCAGAGCUCAACUCUGGAACUGCCCUUGAUACUGGCGAUCUUGAGUGUGAGCGAGGGAUGUGGAACUCCGAGUGUAGCGGUGAAAUUCGUAGAUAUUCGGAAGAACACCAGUGGCGAAGGCGACAUACUGGCUCAUUACUGACGCUGAGGCGCGAAAGCGUGGGGAGCAAACAGGAUUAGAAACCCCGGUAGUCC
rnacentral:rRNA from 1 species